rfam:Roseburia sp. CAG:18 genomic scaffold, scf133
GGGCUAGUAAUGGUUUCGACAGGGAUCAUGCAGCUGGAGAAGCGAGUCGUACGGGAUACGUUAAAUUCCACAAUUAAAAUUAAACGCUGAAGAUAAUUUAGCAUACGCUGCCUAAUGGCAGCAGUCUGACCUAGGGCACUCACACUUUAGGAUCCAGGCUUCGACUCUGUGAGAAACGACGCAGGCUAAGCUUUGCACCUGUGGGCGUAUCAUGAAGCUACUAAAACCACAAGGAUGUUUGUUUUCGUGUGGUGGAGGGAAUGUCAAAGAAUAAACUACACUCGUAGAAGGACAGGGAAUUGGUUUUUGGACACGGGUUCGACUCCCGUCUAGUCCACUA